rnacentral:ncRNA from 2 species
CAUUCCGAGGAGCGUUGCAGCUCACGCCAAGGGUUUCACCCGGCGCUGAGUGAGGCUUGGAACCCGCUGUGGCGAUGCCCGGCGUUUCACAACGGCGCUCACCCACA